AACGAACGCUGGCGGCAUGCCUAACACAUGCAAGUCGAACUAGACCUUCGGGUCUAGUGGCGCACGGGUGCGUAACGCGUGGGAACCUGCCCUUAGGUUCGGAAUAACUCCCCGAAAGGGGUGCUAAUACCGGAUAAUGUCUUCGGACCAAAGAUUUAUCGCCUUUGGAUGGGCCCGCGUUGGAUUAGCUAGUUGGUAGGGUAAAAGCCUACCAAGGCGACGAUCCAUAGCUGGUCUGAGAGGAUGAUCAGCCACACUGGGACUGAGACACGGCCCAGACUCCUACGGGAGGCAGCAGUGGGGAAUAUUGGACAAUGGGCGGAAGCCUGAUGCAGCAAUGCCGCGUGAGUGAUGAAGGCCUUAGGGUUGUAAAGCUCUUUUACCCGGGAUGAUAAUGACAGUACCGGGAGAAUAAGCUCCGGCUAACUCCGUG
rnacentral:rRNA from 1 species